rnacentral:tRNA from 1 species
GAGGGUAUAGCUCAGUGGUAGAGCACAUACUUAGCAUGCACGAGGUCCUAGGUUCAAUACCCAGUACCCCA